UCCGAAUUGGUGUAGUGGCCAACAUUUGACGCUCUCAUAACACACGGGUGCCGUCAAGCCCGGGGUUCGAUUCCCCGAUUCGGAG